GAAUGGCUCAUUAAAUCAGUUAUCGUUUAUUUGAUAGUACCUUACUACUUGGAUAACCGUGGUAAUUCUAGAGCUAAUACAUGCUAAAAACCCCGACUUCGGAAGGGGCGUAUUUAUUAGAUAAAAAACCAAUGCCCUUCGGGGCUCCUUGGUGAUUCAUAAUAGCUUAACGAAUCGCCUGGCCUUGUGCCGGCGAUGGUUCAUUCAAAUUUCUGCCCUAUCAACUUUCGAUGGUAGGAUAGUGGCCUACCAUGGUUUCAACGGGUAACGGGGAAUUAGGGUUCUAUUCCGGAGAGGGAGCCUGAGAAACGGCUACCACAUCCAAGGAAGGCAGCAGGCGCGCAAAUUACCCAAUCCCGACACGGGGAGGUAGUGACAAUAAAUACUGAUACAGGGCUCUUUUGGGUCUUGUAAUUGGAAUGAGUACAAUUUAAAUCCCUUAACGAGGAACAAUUGGAGGGCAAGUCUGGUGCCAGCAGCCGCGGUAAUUCCAGCUCCAAUAGCGUAUAUUAAAGUUGUUGCAGUUAAAAAGCUCGUAGUUGAACCUUGGGCCUGGCUGGCCGGUCCGCCUCACCGCGUGCACUGGUCCGGCCGGGCCUUUCCUUCUGGGGAGCCGCAUGCCCUUCACUGGGUGUGUCGGGGAACCAGGACUUUUACUUUGAAAAAAUUAGAGUGUUCAAAGCAGGCCUAUGCUCGAAUACAUUAGCAUGGAAUAAUGAAAUAGGACGUGUGGUUCUAUUUUGUUGGUUUCUAGGACCGCCGUAAUGAUUAAUAGGGAUAGUCGGGGGCAUCAGUAUUCAAUUGUCAGAGGUGAAAUUCUUGGAUUUAUUGAAGACUAACUACUGCGAAAGCAUUUGCCAAGGAUGUUUCAUUAAAUCAGUGAACGAAAGUUAGGGGAUCGAAGACGAUCAGAUACCGUCGUAGUCU
rnacentral:rRNA from 1 species